GUGCUCGCUUCAGCAGCACAUAUACUAAAAUUGGAAUGAUACAGAGAUUAGCAUGACCCCUGUGCAAGGAUGACAUGCAAAUUCGUGAAGCAUUCCAUAUUUUU
rnacentral:snRNA from 1 species